rnacentral:lncRNA from 10 species
GUGGGGAGGAAGAGGCCACCUCUGCUGGUCUACAGUCAAGGGCUGGCCAGGAAGGCUGCCUCUUUCAACGUCCCCAAGGCAACCACUCUAUGUCAGCAAGGACUCCUGAACCCAUGGCAACCCACCAGCUGCUGCUCUGGGAAGUGAGACCUUACCAGCUUGCUGCCUCCCCAGCAAUGCAGCUGCCCUGUUGGUCAGGACAACCUCUCAGGAGGGUAUCAGGCCCUGGUGUACAGUCCUUUCUUCUAGAAAGAGACAAACAGUGCAAUCACCACAGCCUCCCACUUCUUCUUAGACAGAUCUCACAUCGGAUUCACAGGGGCUUCCUGGGAACAUAAUUCUGUUGAGCCUUAGAAAUCAGGUAGGAUUUUGACUGAUUUGGGAGGUUGGUUAAUUUUACUUUUAUUUUGUUCUCUACAGCUGCUGUUAAGCCUGGCUUAGGGGUCCACCCUUUCCCAGCCCCCUUCCCUUUCUUUAUAACCUGGAUUUU